CAACGCCCAAAUCCUUUGCCUUUUCAAUUCUCUCUUCCUCAGCAAGAAAGUCUAGAAUAUUCAUUCUCAAUUCCAUAAUUCAAGCUUCAUCUAAUCAUCUCAUCUCCUUCUAGUGAUCAAAUUCAAAAUUAUUGGAUUCUAAUUAUUUGCUCCCAUUGAUUGAAUUCGGCAUCUCAUCUGCUCCAAUUUAUCAAAUUCGGCAUUCUUUGUACUUGAGAAAGAAAACCCAUUACCUAUUUGUCAUCAUCUUUUUUUCCAGGUGCACUAAUUCUAAUUAUUUCGUUUUCACUUUUUAAGUAUUUGUGUUUUUUAUUAUUUGUUUAUGCUUUUGUUUGUUUGUUUUCAUAUAUAAUAUUAGUACUUUAUAGGAGAAGAUUUGUUGUUUGUUAAUUAAUUUGUUUGUUUGAUUCUGUUUGUUAUUUAAAAUUGAAGAUGUCAACUAGGAAAUACGCAUCUGGGUAUGAAAAACUACUGAAAAGAAGAAGAAUUGAAAAACUAGUUGAAUCUCAAAAGGGGGCUCUUGAUAAGUUUAUCACAUGUAGUAAAAAAGAUAGAGAUUUAAGUGAAGGAUUAGUAAUUGAACAAGAACAACAAUCGGCUCCAAAAGAAUUAGAAGAAGAUGAAGAAAACAGUGUUGAAGAAGAAAAUUUAAAAGAAACUGGAAUUGAUAGUGGCACAGCUAAUGUAGAAAAUUUAUCUAUUCCACAUAACAUAUAUGACCCGAAAAGAUGGGAAAAAAUAGAUACAAAGUUAAGAGAUCUUUUAGUAGAAAAAGGCCCAAUUAGAGAGUAUGAUGUAGCUUAUCCAAAAGAUGAAAAUCUUAGGCAUUUUUCUAACACAUUUUAUGUUAAAAUACUACCAAAUGGAGAAAAACAUGAUAGAAAAUGGUUAAUAUAUUCAAAAGAUUUUGACAGAGUAUAUUGUUUCUGUUGCAAAUUGUUCAAUAUAAGUUGUAGCAAACGCAGCUAAGUGAUGAAGGGUCAAGGGAUUGGAAAAAUCUUAGUACUAAAUUUAAACGACAUGAAACAACUAAUGAACAUAUAACUAAUAUGAAUGCAUGGGUUGAUUUAGAAACAAGAUUGUCGACAAGAAGAACAAUUGAUAAAGAUGCUCAAGAAAGAAUAAACAAGGAGAAAGAACAUUGGAAGAAAGUACUAAUAAGAAUUAUUGAUGUUGUAAAAAAUCUUGCAAAAAAUAAUUUAGCAUUUCGUGGAACAAAUGAGAAGAUCUAUGAAGAGAACAAUAGAAAUUUUUUAAGUUUCAUUGAAAUGAUAGCAGAAAUUGAUUCAACAAUGAAAGAGCACAUUCGACGUAUUAAAACAGGUGAAAUUCAUAAUCAUUAUCUUGGCCAUAACAUACAAAAUGAAUUAAUUUUGAUGCUAGCACAUGAAAUAAAAAAAUCAAUUGUUAACAAAGUCAAGGAAGCAAAAUAUUUUUCAGUUAUACUUGAUUGUACUCCAAAUGCAAGUCACCAAGAACAAAUGUCUCUCAUACUAAGAUGUAUAGAUAUUUCAACAAAUCUAGUAAAUGUAGAAGAAUACUUUUUAGGAUUUUUAAAGGUAGAUGAUACCACUGGAAAAGGUUUGUUUAGUGAACUUGUGGAUGUAUUAAAAACACUUGAGCUUGAUAUUAAUGAUGUAAGAUGACAAGGAUAUGAUAAUGGAUCUAAUAUGAAAGGAAAAAAUCAAGGUGUACAAAAAAGAUUGUUAGAAAUAAAUCCUAGAGCAUUUUAUACACCAUGUGGCUGUCAAUUUAGUACUUUGUGGUAUGGCUAAUUCAUCUUCUAAAGCUACUUCAUUUUUUUGAGUUUUACAACGUAUUUAUUCAUUGUUUUCUUCUUCAACAAAGAGAUGGAAAAUUUUAAAAGAUCAUGUACCUAAUUUAGCUGUUAAAUCAUUAUCACAAACUCGUUGGGAAAGUCACAUAGAAAGUGUUAAAGCAAUAAGGUUUCAAGCCCCACAAAUUAGAGAUUCUUUACUCCAAUUGGCAGAAUUUGGUGAAGAUCCUUAAACAAAGAGUGAAGCUAAAUGUUUAGCAACAUAUGAGUUGGAAAAUUUUGAAUUUUUACUAGGUAUGACUAUUUGGUAUGAUAUAUUAUUUGCUGUGAACACUGUUAGUAAAAACUUAAAAAAGCAAGAUAUGCAAAUUGAUGUUGCCAUAAAUCAACUAAAAGGUCUUACAUCUUUUUUUGAAAAUUAUAGAGAACAUGGUUAUGUGUCGGCUAUUGUUUCAGCUAAAGAGAUUGCAAGUGAAAUGGGAAUAGAGCCAAAAUUUCAAGAAAAACGUGUAAUUCGUAGAAAACCUGUAUUUGGUGAGAAAAAUAAUGAAGAAAGAAUUUUGUCCCAUGAAGAUUCUUUUAGAAUUGAUUACUUUAUAUAUAUUGUCGAUCAAGCUAUUUCUUCUAUCAAGAUUAGAUUUCAGCAGUUUGAAUUAUAUGAAAGCAUUUUUGGAUUUUUAUUUAGUUUUGAAAAGUUAAAAUCAUUAGAUGAUGAUAGUUUGAAAAAUAGUUGCAUGCAUCUUGAAAAGUCUUUGAAACAUGAUAUGUUUUCUGAUAUUGAUGAAUUAGAUUUGUUUUCAGAGUUAAAAGUUUUGAAAGAAGUUUUACAAAUUAAAAUAAAUACUCCACUUGACAUUCUUAAUUAUAUUAAAAAGAUAGAAUCUUUUCCUAAUGCAUUUGUUGCUUAUAGAAUAUUAUUAACAAUACCUGUAACUCCUGUAACUGUUGCUUCAGCUGAGAGGAGUUUUUCAAAACUGAAAUUGAUAAAAUCUUUUUUAAGAUCAACAAUGUCACAAGAAAGAUUAAAUGGAUUAAAUAUGUUAUCAAUUGAAAAAGAUUUUUUAGGUAACCUAAAUUUUGAGGAUUUAAUUAAUAACUUUGCAUCUAAAAAAGCAAGAAGAAUUAAUUUUAAUUGAUUAAUUACUUGUGUUAGUAUUGCAUUCAACAAGGAUCAAAACAUGAAGCGAUUGGACUGUUGGAGCAAUGAUAUAGUCACAUUAUCUCAUGGGUUAUGGUCCUAUCAAAUAUGUGAUUUUGUGACAGAGAUGGAGUUUUUAGGAUAUUUGUUAUUUUCCUGCUACAGUUUGAAUUCCCAGGAGGCAGUAGCAUUCAUAUUAUUAGUUUUUAAAGCUGUUAAUUUACAUGCAUUCUUUUGAUUUGAGGGCUUGUUGUUGGUGUUGAAAAUGUUGAUCAACUGGUGCUUGUAUUAUGAAACUUGUAAAACUAAAUGUGAUUUUAUUUGUAAUAUAAAUAAAAUGUCUUUCUUAUGUUUCAUUAAAAUAAAAUAAUGAGAUUAUUUAAUGGUUUUAAGAAUUGUUGUUUUUAAAUAGAGAAAGGCCCCAUACAAAAAUUUCGCCUAAGGCCACUAAUGUGCUAGAACCGACCCUGUAUAGACAUCCGACAUAUGUUUUUCAGCUGUUGUUAUCUUCAUUUAAAGUCACAUUAUCUUUGUGUAUACUUUUCAACAAAUAGUAUGAAUUCUUGUUAUACUUUUUGCUCAAGAAGAAAUUGUGUUGGA
rnacentral:lncRNA from 1 species